rnacentral:rRNA from 1 species
GACGAACGCUGGCGGCGUGCUUAACACAUGCAAGUCGAACGGAGUGGCGAACGGGUGAGUAACACGUGGGUGACCUGCCCUGCACUUCGGGAUAAGCCUGGGAAACUGGGUCUAAUACCGGAUAGUGUGGGAUGGGCCCGCGGCCUAUCAGCUUGUGGGUGGGGUAAUGGCCUACCAAGGCGGCGACGGGUAGCCGGCCUGGGAGGGUGGACGGGCACAAGGGUACUGAGACACGGACCAGACUGCUACGGGAGGCAGCGGGGGGGAAGAUUGCACAAUGGGCGGAAGCGUGAUGCAGCGGCGCCGGGGGGGGGAUGACGGCCUUCGGGUUGUAAACUCCUUUCACCAUCGACGCGGUAGAUGGAGAAGAAGCACCGGCUAACUACGUGCCAGCCGCCGCGGUAAUAC